rnacentral:rRNA from 1 species
GCGGCUGCACCACUGGGAUACCCUGAUCCAACAUCGAGGUCGUAAACCCACUUGUCGAUAAGGGCUCUUGAAGUGGAUUGCGCUGUUAUCCCUAGGGUAACUUGGUUCGUUGUUCAAAAUAUUGGGUCAAUUUAUGUCAAUUUAUUGGUGCUUAAAGUCGUGGCUUUUAGUUCAAGAGUAGGUCCAUUCAUUGUGGAGGUUAAUUUUUACUCCGUGGUCACCCCAACCCAAAAUUAAUAGUCAGAAGGCUAGAAUAAGUGUAGGAUCCCAGGGGGUGUGUGAGAAAAAAGCCAGUGCUAUUUAGUUUGAAGCUCCAUAGGGUCUUCUCGUCUAAUAUUAAGAUUCCCGCUUCUUCACGGGAAGAUCAGUUUCAUUGAUUGGAAAAAGGAGACAGUGGAACCCUCGUGAUGCCAUUCAUACUAGUCCUCAUUUAAAGAACAAAUGAUUACGCUACCUUCGCACGGUUAGGAUACCGCGGCCGUUAAACUGGGUCACUGGGCAGGCUGGACCUCUUAUGGGGUACAAGAGGCGAUGUUUUUGGUAAACAGGCGGGGUUAAUACUUGCCGAGUUCCUUCUUUUUCUUUUAAUCUUUCUUGAAAUGUGCUAGUGUUAGGUUAACGUUAGGGACAACAGGGUUUUCUAGUGAAGUUGCUGUUUUGUAAUCAUAGACGUUAAUUAUCAGUGGUGGGUCCUUUCUGAUUUAUAUUUACAUUUAAGAGAAGGUCUUCUUCUUAUUACUAGUUUUAACAUAGUGGCUUCUAUAGAGUAUAUAGAAUAACUUAAUAUUAGUAAAGGG